CACCGGAAGAUUUAGUGGCGAACGGGUGAGGAUCACGUGAGAAACGUGCCCCAGACUCUGGGAUAACAAUUGGAAACGAUUGCUAAUACCGGAUGACGUCGGAGAAUCGCAUGAUUCACUGACGAAAGAUAUUUCGGUUUGGGAGCGUCUCGCGGCCUAUCAGCUUGUUGGUGGGGUAAUGGCCUACCAAGGCAACGACGGGUAGCUGGUCUGAGAGGAUGAUCAGCCACACUGGGACUGAGACACGGCCCAGACUCCUACGGGAGGCAGCAGUGGGGAAUCUUGCGCAAUGGGCGAAAGCCUGACGCAGCAACGCCGCGUGCGGGAUGAAGGCCUUCGGGCUGUAAACCGCUUUCAGCAGGAACGAAAAUGACGGUACCUGCAGAAGAAGGAGCGGCCAACUACGUGCCAGCAGCCGCGGUGACACGUAGGCUCCAAGCGUUGUCCGGAUUUAUUGGGCGUAAAGAGCUCGUAGGCGGUUGAGUAAGUCGGGUGUGAAAACUCUGGGCUUAACCCGGAGACGCCAUCCGAUACUGCUCUGACUAGAGUUCAGGAGGGGAGUGGGGAAUUCCUAGUGUAGCGGUGAAAUGCGCAGAUAUUAGGAGGAACACCGGUGGCGAAGGCGCCACUCUGGACUGAAACUGACGCUGAGGAGCGAAAGCAUGGGUAGCAAACAGGAUUAGAUACCCUGGUAGUCCAUGCCGUAAACGGUGGGCACUAGGUGUGGGUUCCAACUAACGGGAUCCGCGCCGUCGCUAACGCAUUAAGUGCCCCGCCUGGGGAGUACGGUCGCAAGACUAA
rnacentral:rRNA from 1 species